rnacentral:rRNA from 1 species
GACGAACGCUGGCGGCGUGCUUAACACAUGCAAGUCGAACGGUAAGGCCCUUUCGGGGGUACCCGAGUGGCGAACGGGUGAGUAACACGUGGGUGAUCUGCCCUGCACUUUGGGAUAAGCCUGGGAAACUGGGUCUAAUACCGGAUAGGACUACGCGAUGCAUGUCGUGUGGUGGAAAGCUUGUGCGGUGUGGGAUGGGCCCGCGGCCUAUCAGCUUGUUGGUGGGGUGAUGGCCUACCAAGGCGACGACGGGUAGCCGGCCUGAGAGGGUGUCCGGCCACACUGGGACUGAGAUACGGCCCAGACUCCUACGGGAGGCAGCAGUGGAGAAUAUUGCACAAUGGGCGCAAGCCUGAUGCAGCGACGCCGCGUGGGGGAUGACGGCCUUCGGGUUGUAAACCCCUUUCAGCACAGACGAAGCGUAAGUGACGGUAUGUGCAGAAGAAGCACCGGCCAACUACGUG